UAGUCACAAUAUUUUUGGAGACAGUGAAUGUAAUUAUAUAACAACUAGGAUCAUCAAUAAAUAUUUAAAUGGAACAAUACACCCAAUCAAAAUAAUGCAAUCUUAUUAGCGGUCACUAAUGGCCCAUUUUCGCCAGGUAUUUGAAUUACGGCAGCUGCAGCAUUACAGUUUUCGCUAAGGGCCUCCUUCUGUUAGUCAAUACAGCGUUACCGGAAGUAGUAAAUUUUCUCACAAAAUAUACUACAAGCUAUUACUAUAACAAUGUAAAUAUCUAUAGGAUAUGUAAUUCUUUUGUUUGUUUUCGCAGCAGAUUUUUAUGCCUUAGGAAGGGUACACACUUAUUUUCAUUAUCUUAGUGCUGUACCUGCUUGACCAGUGUAGCUGCAGAUCACAACGCCGAUAUUGUGUGAUUGUGUGUGAUUUGUAGCAGGUUCUAACCCAGCAUGGUACAAAAAAAAAUGUGUAAGACGCAUAUUCUUGAUACGUUGAGUGACAUUUUAUGCGUGAGAUUUAAAUGUUCAUGAAACCUCCCGAGCAGAAAAGACCAAAAUAUUUUUUGCGGGGGUCAUUCACAAAAAAAUAUAAUAUAUGCGAUUAUGAAUCCAGUGUCAUAAGAAAAUAUAUUUAGGAAUGAAAUAAAUACUGAAAUAAAACCCUUUUCCUAAAUAAAUAUAAUUUAAUUUCAAA